rnacentral:rRNA from 1 species
UAACACAGCCAUACUACCCUGAAUGUGCCUGAUCUCUGAAGCUAAGCAGGGUCAGGCCUGAUUAGUAAUUAGGUGAAAAAAACAUCCUUACUUUCAUAUGGUCAGCUUCUCACUGUGUGCU